GGCUACGGCCGUGCCACCCUGAACCCGCCUGAUCUCAGCUGGUCUCAGAAGCUAAGCAGGGCCUGGUCAGUCCUUGGAUGGGAGAGUUUGGAAAUAGAUUUAUCAGUACGCGUGAGGUGGUGAUUU
rnacentral:rRNA from 1 species